UACGUAGGGGGCAAGCGUUGUCCGGAAUCAUUGGGCGUAAAGAGCGUGUAGGCGGCCAGGUAGGUCUGCUGUGAAAACUCGAGGCUCAACCUCGAGACGUCGGCGGAAACCAUCUGGCUAGAGUCCGGAAGAGGAGAGUGGAAUUCCUGGUGUAGCGGUGAAAUGCGCAGAUAUCAGGAAGAACACCCGUGGCGAAGGCGGUUCUCUGGGACGGUACUGACGCUGAGACGCGAAAGCGUGGGGAGCGAACAGG
rnacentral:rRNA from 1 species